rnacentral:rRNA from 1 species
UACGUAGGCGGAAAAUUAAGUCAGUGGUGAAAUCCUGCAGCUUAACUGUAGAACUGUCAUUGAUACUGGUUUUCUUGAAUGUAGUUGAGGUAGGCGGAAUGUGUAAUGUAGCGGUGAAAUGCUUAGAUAUUACACAGAACACCGAUUGCGAAGGCAGCUUACUAAGCUACGAUUGACGCUGAGGUACGAAAGCGUGGGGAGCGAACAGGAUUAGAUACCCUGGUAGUCC